GGUGGUCAGGGUGGGGUUCAACAACUGGAGUAUUGACGACAAGGGCCAAUUGUGGUGGCAAGGCAGCCAGCAUUUGAAAAUACAAAGAAAUGACUGGGAAAAUAAGGGGUUCGGCCCUUAUCAAUGGAUUGGGCUUUGGCAAAAGCCAUGAGCUGAUGCAGAGAAUUAUUCCUGAUCUCGAACAAUAAAAUGAUGGGGAUGAUCGGAAAAGAAGAAAUAGGAUGGGUUUUCACACCUACAAGUAGGGGAUAAAUAGGGGCCCUUGGCUAUUUCCAGAAAAUUCGGCCCGAUGGUCA
rnacentral:lncRNA from 1 species